GGACGUUGGAGGGGUGGCCGCAUGGAGUGAGUACUGUCUCUGGCCACCGAGCAGAGCCAGUGACAGCAGCGUCCUGGUAGGCAGGCAGGCGUAUCAGGUUUCAGAGGAUGCGGCUGGGAACGGGAGUAGAGGUGAGGGGUCGUUGCAUCUGUCGCGGUGUGUAUCUUUUGGGGGUUCAGCGCCACCAGCGACUUGGGCCUCAUUCAUCGCGCUUACAUUUCUCCACCUCAUUUGAAGAACGAGCUUCGUAGCCCACGGAGCUGAGGUAUAUGAGCUCCCUGAAAGCACAAAGCAGUUAUUUCCAUCUUCAGAUCAUUCAGAGAUUAUGAAGGCACAAACCCUGCCUUCAAUUUGCUUAUAGUCAAGUGGAGCAGACACAAGUCAAUGAUUGCAGUAUAGCCACUGAAGUAAUCUAAAAGAGGUGAGUGUGGCACUUAACCUCUCCUGGGAGGGGGAGGAAUAAGGCAGUGUUUCCAAGAGGUGAUUUUGGAGCUAUACAGGCAUUAGGUAGACAAGGAAGGGGAGGUCCAUUCUGGGUGCCUAGGACUCUAAUUACACGCUUUCCAUUGUCUUCCUAUAGAAAAUAGGAGUAGUACACUUAUAGAUGAGAAAACUGGAGAAAGACAUAGUGAACAUGUGAGAAUCUUGCUCUACUAAUUGAUAGGAAGGUGACUAGAAAUUGGCGAAGUUUUCUUGGUAAGUUGAGGAGAGGACUUUUCUUAUAGUGCAGUCUGGUAGCUGAACCGCCUUGCAUCAAGACCAAUGUAGUCUUAUUUACAGAAUGCCACAUCACAGUGAAUUGUGCUGUGGACAGCUUCCAGUGUGUGAGUUGUGGAAGAUGAUGAUUUUAACAGAUUUUGGAGGAUGAGAAGUAUUAAGAAGAAGGCCCCACUGUCCAUGCAUUUGCUCUGCUUUUUACUUUUGACCAAGUAUACACUUCAGAAAUAUCUUAUUGGAUGUAUACAAAGUGAUUGUGUGUCAUUUGAACCAGCAGGAAGUAAUUUAUUAAACACACUUUUCUAAAUAAAAGUCAUUUAAUUUUAUCAGAAAUCAGUGUCAUUUUAGAUUGCAAGUCUCAAACCAACUUUCCAAUUCUGACUUGUAAGGGUGCCUUAAAUCCUGAAUACUGUACUCUGUAUUACUAAACCCAUGUUAGUUUACGCCAAGAUUCUGUGGUGGUUUUACAUAUUCUUUUUCCCCUUUGUUAAGGUGGGGAGGCCACAGCUUAUGUGAAUGACUUUCUCAGGAGUUAUAAAGUGAUACAGGUAAAGCUAAGAAAAGAACAGAUUUUGAUAACUUUUGUUUUAACUGUCCAGUGUUAGGGAUUGUGGCUACAGUGGUCUAAUUUUUAAAAACUCUUUUUUUUGCUUACUUAUCAGCAGGUUGCAGGUGAACAUGGCCUUGAGGUAAAUCUGUCCCUUGCUGAAUACAGUUUCAGUAGAUUGUUUAUAGUAGUUUCAGGAAUUGAGAUUUUUUACAAAAAUACAAAAGUUUUGCUUGGUUCUGUUCUAGAUGUUUUCUUCUAAAUAAAUGAGAAAGAUGUUUCAACAAAGGCUCUUUAUGCUGAAUAAUUGUGAUGCUUGAAGUUGCUAAUCUGCUUUAAGUGGAUUUUAAAUGUCAGGCAAUUCUAGAC
rnacentral:lncRNA from 10 species